CCUANGGGAGGCAGCAGUGGGGAAUAUUGGACAAUGGGGGAAACCCUGAUCCAGCGACGCCGCGUGGGUGAAGAAGGCCUGCGGGUUGUAAAGCCCUUUCGGUAGGGACGAAAGCUCUUGCUCUAACAAAGCAGGAGGUUGACUUAACCUACAUAAGAAGCACCGGCUAACUCUGUGCCAGCAGCCGCGGUAAUACAGAGGGUGCGAGCGUUAAUCGGAAUUACUGGGCGUAAAGCGCACGUAGUCGGCUUGUCAAGUCGGGUGUGAAAUCCCCGGGCUCAACCUGGGAACUGCAUCCGAAACUGACUUGCUAGAGUAUGGGAGAGGGAGGCGGAAUUUCUGGUGUAGCAGUGAAAUGCGUAGAUAUCAGAAGGAACAUCAGUGGCGAAGGCGGCCUCCUGGACCAAUACUGACGAUCAGGUGCGAAAGCGUGGGGAGCAAACAGGAUUAGAUACCCUANUANUC
rnacentral:rRNA from 1 species